UUUCACAUUUUGUAUGCAAUGAUAGCCCGGUUAUUAGCCUUUUAUCAUCUACAAUCUGUUACUACCCUAUUUACCGACAUUAAUUUGUCGGUUUUUUUU
rnacentral:sRNA from 1 species